UGAACGCUGGCGGCAUGCCUUACACAUGCAAGUCGAACGGCAGCACGGGGGGUAACCCCUGGUGGCGAGUGGCGAACGGGUGAGUAAUAUAUCGGAACGUGCCCUGUAGCGGGGGAUAACCUAUCGAAAGAUGGACUAAUACCGCAUACGCUCUACGGAGGAAAGCGGGGGUCGCAAGACCUCGCACUAUAGGAGCGGCCGAUAUCGGAUUAGCUAGUUGGCGGGGUAAAAGCCCACCAAGGCGACGAUCCGUAGCUGGUCUGAGAGGAUGAUCAGCCACACUGGAACUGAGACACGGUCCAGACUCCUACGGGAGGCAGCAGUGGGGAAUUUUGGACAAUGGGCGCAAGCCUGAUCCAGCCAUGCCGCGUGAGUGAAGAAGGCCUUCGGGUUGUAAAGCUCUUUCGGCAGGAACGAAAUGGUUCGUGCUAAUACCACGGAUUGAUGACGGUACCUGAAGAAGAAGCACCGGCUAACUACGU
rnacentral:rRNA from 1 species